rnacentral:rRNA from 1 species
AACUGACGCUCAGGCACGAAAGCAUGGGUAGCAAACAGGAUUAGAUACCCUGGUAGUCCAUGCCGUAAACGAUGAUUACUAGGUGUGGGGGGACUGACCCCCUCCGUGCCGCAGUUAACACAAUAAGUAAUCCACCUGGGGAGUACGGCCGCAAGGUUGAAACUCAAAGGAAUUGACGGGGGCCCGCACAAGCAGUGGAGUAUGUGGUUUAAUUCGAAGCAACGCGAAGAACCUUACCGGGGCUUGACAUCCUGAGAAUCUGCCAGAGAUGGCGGAGUGCCCUUCGGGGAAUUCAGAGACAGGUGGUGCAUGGUUGUCGUCAGCUCGUGUCGUGAGAUGUUGGGUUAAGUCCCGCAACGAGCGCAACCCUUGCUUUUAGUUGCUACGCAAGAGCACUCUAGAAGGACUGCCGUUGACAAAACGGAGGAAGGUGGGGACGACGUCAAAUCAUCAUGCCCCUUAUGUCCCGGGCUACACACGUACUACAAUGGCCGUCAACAGAGGGAAGCAAAGGAGCGAUCCGGAGCAAACCCCUAAAAACGGUCCCAGUUCAGAUUGCAGGCUGCAACUCGCCUGUAUGAAGUUGGAAUUGCUAGUAAU